UACGAAGGGGGCUAGCGUUGCUCGGAAUCACUGGGCGUAAAGGGUGCGUAGGCGGGUUUUAAGUCAGAGGUGAAAUCCUGGAGCUCAACUCCAGAACUGCCUUUGAUACUGGCGAUCUUGAGUCCGGGAGAGGUGAGUGGAACUGCGAGUGUAGAGGUGAAAUUCGUAGAUAUUAGGAAGAACACCAGUGGCGAAGGCGGCUCACUGGCCCGGUACUGACGCUGAGGCGCGAAAGCGUGGGGAGCAAACAGG
rnacentral:rRNA from 1 species